AAUUAAUAUUGGCAGAGACACAUUUAUAUGAAAGAACAUUGUAAGAGAAUAUUUGGCAAAGUUUUUGUAAGAUAAUUCUUUGGGAUAAUAUCAUAAAAACCAAUGCAGCAUUGAAUGAUUAUUUUAUUGAUUUCUCAUUGUCUUUUUGGCAUCGUAAUACUUUCAUUAAACAAAUUCUUAAAAAUUGAGUCAUUGAAGCAUUUCAGAAAAAAAAACCUUUCUCAUUUGAUGAGGAUCAAAAAUAUCAAACUUACAAUUAAUUUAAUUGAACACUAUGAUUCUGGCAAAAUAUAAGAAUUACUUUCAGAAAGUUUUGAAUACUUGUUCAACUUGGCAAAAUGUUAUGCAUAUAAUGCAA